CAUGCAAGUCGAGCGAACAGAGAAGGAGCUUGCUCCUUUGACGUUAGCGGCGGACGGGUGAGUAACACGUGGGCAACCUACCUUAUAGUUUGGGAUAACUCCGGGAAACCGGGGCUAAUACCGAAUAAUCUAUUUUACUUCAUGGUGAAAUACUGAAAGACGGUUUCGGCUGUCGCUAUAAGAUGGGCCCGCGGCGCAUUAGCUAGUUGGUGAGGUAACGGCUCACCAAGGCGACGAUGCGUAGCGACCUGAGAGGGUGAUCGGCCACACUGGGACUGAGACACGGCCCAGACUCCUACGGGAGGCAGCAGUAGGGAAUCUUCCACAAUGGGCGAAAGCUGAUGGAGCAACGCCGCGUGAGUGAAGAAGGUUUUCGGAUCGUAAAACUCUGUUGUAAGGGAAGAACAAGUACAGUAGUAACUGGCUGUACCUUGACGGUACCUUAUUAGAAAGCCACGGCUAACUACGUGCCAGCAGCCGCGGUAAUACGUAGGUGGCAAGCGUUGUCCGGAAUUAUUGGGCGUAAAGCGCGCGCAGGCGGUCCUUUAA
rnacentral:rRNA from 1 species